rnacentral:rRNA from 1 species
UACAGAGGGUGCGAGCGUUGUUCGGAAUUAUUGGGCGUAAAGGGCGCGUAGGCGGUGCGGUAAGUCACCUGUGAAAUCUCCUGGCUCAACUGGGAGCUUGCAGGCGAAACUGCCGUGCUGGAGUGUGGGAGAGGUGCGUGGAAUUCCCGGUGUAGCGGUGAAAUGCGUAGAUAUCGGAAGGAACGCCGGUGGCGAAAGCGGCGCGCUGGAUCUCACCUGACGCUGAGGCGCGAAAGCCAGGGGAGCAAACGGG